CCUACGGGAGGCAGCAGUGGGGAAUAUUGCACAAUGGGCGCAAGCCUGAUGCAGCCAUGCCGCGUGUGUGAAGAAGGCCUUCGGGUUGUAAAGCACUUUCAGCGGGGAGGAAGGCGUUAAGGUUAAUAACCUUGUCGAUUGACGUUACCCGCAGAGGAAGCACCGGCUAACUCCGUGCCAGCAGCCGCGGUAAUACGGAGGGUGCAAGCGUUAAUCGGAAUUACUGGGCGUAAAGCGCACGCAGGCGGUCUGUCAAGUCGGAUGUGAAAUCCCCGGGCUCAACCUGGGAACUGCAUGCGAAACUGGCAGGCUAGAGUCUUGUAGAGGGGGGUAGAAUUCCAGGUGUAGCGGUGAAAUGCGUAGAGAUCUGGAGGAAUACCGGUGGCGAAGGCGGCCCCCUGGACAAAGACUGACGCUCAGGUGCGAAAGCGUGGGGAGCAAACAGGAUUAGAUACCCUAGUAGUC
rnacentral:rRNA from 1 species